ensembl:miRNA
GUAUCUAUUAGGUUGGUGCAAAAGUAAUUGUGGCUUUGCCAUUACUUUCAGUGGCAAAAACCACAAUUACUUUUGCACCAAUUUAUUCAUU